rnacentral:rRNA from 1 species
UGGGGAAUCUUGCGCAAUGGGCGAAAGCCUGACGCAGCCAUGCCGCGUGAAUGAUGAAGGUCUUAGGAUUGUAAAAUUUUUUCACCGGGGACGAUAAUGACGGUACCCGGAGAAGAAGCGACCGGCUAACUUUCGUGC